rnacentral:rRNA from 1 species
UACAGGGGGUGCAAACGUUGCUCGGAAUCAUUGGGCGAAAGCGCACGUAGGCGGUCUGUUAUGUCGGAUGUGAAAGCCCUUGGCUCAACUGAGGAAGUGCAUCCGAAACUGGCAGGCUAGAGUACUAAAGAGGAUCGCGGAAUUCCCGGUGUAGAGGUGAAAUUCGUAGAUAUCGGGAGGAACACCAGUGGCGAAGGCGGCGCCUGGGCCAAUAUUGACGCUGGAGGUGCG